GGAAAGGAGUUGAAGUGAAGAAAACUUUGUCCGUGUGUCUCCUCGUGGUGGUCGUUGGGUCGUGCGCGGGUCAGAGUAUCCAGCAGCUGCUCAACAACAUCGGCAUCAACAACCCCACAACCGUAGCGGAGAUCAGAAGCAUCUUAUCUAAAGAUAACCAACACAAUGUAGUAUCCUGUUUGGUCAAUGGCGUGGCUGCCGACGCUGGACGACCGUGCGAUGCAAGAACAGAUGACUUUAGGAACCUCUUGACGCAACUUGACAGGAACAAUUACAACUGCAACUGCCCGGAGCAAGCCCAGGUCGAUACCUUCGCCAAUUUAAUCAGAAAUAUUCUUGGUGCAACAAACUGCAAUACCGUGAGGAACGCAUUGCAACUGCAAAACUUACGUUGUUAAAGCAGGUGAACAGUCUAGUUGGUGUGGAACUAAGAAGAUGAGAGAGUUUGGGUUUUUUUUUGGUAGCAAGAUGCAAUAGCGUAAGAAUACAGAGGCGAUUCCCCUGCGCGGCUGAGCAUCCAGAAAUUUUCAAAUGCUUGCCACAUAUCGUGAAAUAAAGGCGGAGAACA
rnacentral:misc_RNA from 1 species